rnacentral:sRNA from 1 species
UUUGCUUUAAAUUCCCAUGUGAAAAGUAUCUUGGGAAAAAUGAACCCCCUAUUUUAUUUAUCUAUUUUUACAGAAAAUGCAAAUAUUAAUUAUGGACAGUGAUCUUUAGCCUUUUGGACAGAUUUAAAUGCUGAGACAGCAAGAGCAGACUGAAAUCAGGAUUGAGAAAUAGAGCGAGAAAGCAGGGGGAAAUCAGAAAGGGGUCGCAAAGCGAGAUGGGGAAACUCAAAGUUACUGGGGAAUAGAAUUUCCCUAGCACUAGUCACAAUACGUAUGUUUGUUCAAAAGCAAGAGGCGGGGAAGACAUGCAUGCCUGAUGCUGAAGAAAAGCCUGUUUGUGUCUCACACACUGGAGAAAUUGUUCAAGAACAGUCCAUCGAUGUGAAAAUAUGACCCAUGUCAUCUUGCCAGGGUAGUUAAGACACUCAGUAGCUGAGUAAAGCCUGAUUGGAUAAAUUCACAAUCCUGGGGGUGUACAUACUUCCUAGUAUCCAGUUUUUCUAAGAUACAAAAAAAAAUGUCAGUGGAAAUAAGGUUACAGAGUGCCACAUGUGUGGGCGAGACAAGGUCUCCAUAGGGUGGGAACCAGGCAGAACUCAGACAUGGCUCAUUCUUUUAGUUUCUGCUCCAUUUUCUUAGUGGUCAAAAUGAGAAACAAAGGAUAAAUGCCCAGCACUAGCAAAAAAGAGGGAACUGUGAUAUUUAGAGAUGGGGAGGAGGGAAAGGUUACCGACUAGCAUCGAAAUGAAUUUCCCAUUCUCCUUUACUAUUGUCGUCUUUCACAAACUCCCAGUGUGUCUAGAGAUAAAACCCCAACAUUUACUGUAGGGGUGCGUUUUUCCAAGGAGAUCCAAGGAUGUGAACUCUGUCUAUGGAAAGUGAAUGUCCAAAGGUAUGCAGGAAACAUUGACUAUAGCAAAGGCUUGCAAAGGGGCAACAACAUGGUGGGUGCAAGUGAAACAGAAAAAAAUGAGCCCAUCUUGGAGAAACUUUCUUGCCCUCUGUCUGGUGAUUUCUGUAGGCUUUUGCCUGGAUUCAUCCUGAUGGUAAUAAUUUCAGGUAAAUGAAAUGUUAAGCUGCUUCCAUAAGCAGACUGACUGCUGAGAUGGAGAAGACGGGGAGGGGAGGAAGACUUCUGAGCAGUCUUCAUUUCAGUUUCGAGAAAUCAAGGAUCAGGACCGGACUGUGUGAAUAAACAAAUAGAGGGCAUGGGAAAACACCCACACACACAUACUUUUGCCCAAUUUUCCCUUUGGCGAGUUUAUAGUAGCUACAAACAACAGAGGGAAAAAGACCUCAGCUUAAAACUGCCAAACACAGUGCCGUCAGGCUCAGCUGAACUUUGCAGAGUUGAAGAAUCUAAAACACCAAAAGUGUCUCUGUGAACUGACAAUGGACCAUGCCUGUUAAAGGGACAGCACUUCCUUUAGUCUAUGGAAUUUUGUUUUCAAAGUUGCAAUGUUCAUCGCCAAUGUUUUCCAUAAAUAAAUAACUAGUGGUCACUCUAGAGCCUAUAAUCAAUUCUGCUUCUAUUUUCUUCAUUUCACGUGCGCUUUGUAAUUACAUAAUCGAUAGCCUUUAUUACAGUUCACUAUACAAAUCAUAUACAUACAGACGUCCUGAAGAAAUAGUUUUGCUUUAAACUUUCAGAUGAGAUCAAGCUUCACUUCAUCAACAAACAUAUAAACAAAUCAAAACCAUUUGGUUUUUGGUAAAUGAACUGAGAUAAUCUAUGAAUGAAGCUGAGUAGAGGAACCAGGAUGGGUAAAUCAGAACCAUCCCAACUCCUGCUCCUCAAACUUGAUACAUUUAUUUCCUUUGCUUUCUUUCUUCACUCCCCUUUUCUUCUUCAACAUGGAAGGUUAUGUUCCAAGUGGACCUAGGGUCUUCCUGUAACACAGGAAACACAGAGUGUUUUCCUCAUCUGAAGGCACAGCCUCCUGCCCACUGGAGGCCGUGCACUCAUGUUGAUUGCUCUCGGUUUUCCUGUUGUGCUGGAAGUCUUGCUUGAUGGCUAACUGUGCUACGGUAACUCUUGUAAGCCAAAGCCUGACUCUGUAUCUGUGAUUGUCAUUUCCUUUAUUAGGAGACUCACAGACACUUGCAACCUUGUGAUAUGCUUAUUAUCAAGUUUAUGUCAGCUAUUAUAUUUAUACAUCUAUUACAAGCAUAUGGCUGGGAUUCUUUUCUGAGAAUGACAGCAUGGGUCAGAGGACAUUACAUGUGAAUGUGUGUGUGUAAGCCAAGAGGCAUUUUUAAUAUUAAUAAUAACUUGAAGUCAUAGAGCUAGGCUGUGAUAAUUAUAUGUUCUGGCCAAAUUGCUAAGGAGCAGUAAUUGGGUUUACAGUUUUCUAGCAGACCUUUAUGUCCCCUUUUGCAAAUAAAAACCCCAAAACCUGGAGAAAUUAAGUGAGCUACACAGGUUCCCGAGAGCCCAACAUGAGGUACAAUGCUGAAUCUACAUUGGGAAGAAAGACUUAGUCAUCUAAGCACAUUAGGGAGCAGUGAUUUUAAACAGGAAAGGGUAGCUAUUGGCCGAAUCCAUCCUAUGUCUAAACCUUGGUCUCAAAAGUGCCCAAGAACAGUUAAAAUGGAGCUAGUGUCUUACUGAAUGGGAGAGACAUGGAAUUUAAGCUGUCCCAAUGGGCAUCUCGUACUGGGGAAGACUGGAAGCCCAGAGCUCCACCAGCAUGCUUCUAAAAACAUAAACUGUUCUGCCUGACAAGCUGAACCUGGUGGUGGUGGCUGAGCCUUAAGGAGGAGGCCUAGUUCAUUGCCAUUGUCAAUGCCAUUGUGAAAAAUUCCAGAUUGCCACAUCAAAUGAGCCACAGAAGUAUCAAAGACAUAAGCACAUUUGAGCUCCCUGGCAUUCCAACAUGGUGGGUUCUGCAGAUGUUUGGACAGAGGACAGAGAACAUGAGUCAGGAUCUGUGUGUGAGUGAAGCGGUCAAGGUGUAAAGUUGAAUAGUAUAAAGGGAACAAGAACAGAAGUACCCAAUCUACGCUUGAUGUUGGUGAGGCCAGAACUAAUUUAUGCACAUAAAUGUGGAAGUCACUUUUGACAACGUGUUCAUCAGCAAGCGAACAGUAGCAGCUUCUCUAUGCAUUUUAAAUAAACACCUGGAAUUAGUGGUGGCUUGGAAUACAGUUUGAAAAGCUGUCUUUGAGGAUCAAUCACUACAGAUGGUCUGGAAAAUACAUAGGGUAACAUGGGAAGCUAAGUAUAGACACAGGCCAAUGAUGGGGAUUGUUCUUGAUAAGUGAACAGACUUAUUAAAUAGCCCUUCUGUCUUCUCCUUGGAUAAAGGGGAGGAGUCUCCUCAGGUACCAACCUACCCUGGUAUCUCCAGUCUCUGCAGGACUAGGUGACUCUUCUCCCACUGAGGCCAGAAGGCAUUCAUUCAAACAAGUGAAUUUAAGAUAAUUCUGUUUUCAUUCUUGAUUGCUUGGUUAAUUUUGUGUUGUUGUUAAUCAAAUAAAUACUUAAAGAUGGGCAAGUAAAAUGAGGGAUGUGAAGUGUUAGAAAGAGCAAGAGGCCUUUAAGAACACAUACUCUGUCUGGACAGGGCUGGUGACUUAGCAGUUAAGAGUUCCUCCAGAGGACCCGAGUUUAGUUCCAGUGCCUAUACUCACUCGCAAGCAAACUUCAGACUAAUAAACUUAAGAAUGAAACACAGAGACAAAAUGUGGA